UCGUAGGGGCUUCGCCGUCGAUGGCGUC
rnacentral:sRNA from 1 species